AGCGGGACCCACAGCGACCCAUAGAGACCCACAGAGCCCUAUAGCGACCCCAUAUCGCCCCAUAGAGACCCCACAGAGACCCAUAGAGACCCAUAGAGCCCCAUAGAGACCCAUAGAGCCCCAUAAGGACCCAUAGCGACCCAUAACUGCCUCAUAGCGACCCACAGAGACCCAUAGAGACACAUAGUGCCCCAUAGAGACCUAUAGAGACACAUAGCUGCCCCAUAGUGACCCAUAGCUGCCCCAUAGAGACCCAUAGAGCCCCAUAGCGACACAUAGAGACACAUAGCUGCCCCAUAGAGACCCCAUAGAGACCCAUAGAGACCCAUAGAGNNNNNNNNNNNNNNNNNNNNNNNNNNNNNNNNNNNNNNNNNNNNNNNNNCUGCUUAAAAGGAGACCCACACAGACAGCCCACAGUGACCCACAAGUGCCCCAUAGCGACCCAUAGCUGCCCCAUAGAACCCCAUAGAGCCCCAUAGCGCCCCAUAGAGACCCAUAGAGACCCAUAGCUGCCCCAUAGAGACCCAUAGAGACCCAUAGAGCCCCAUAGAGAUCCCAUAGAGACCCAUAGAGACCCAUAGAGACCCGUAGCUGCCCCAUAGAACCUCAUAGGUGACCCAUAGAGCCCCAAAGUGCCCCAUAGCGCAGCAUAGCUGCCCCAUAGAACCCCAUGGUGCCCCAUAGAGCCACAUAGAGCCCCAUAGAGACCCAUAGAGCCCCACAGUGCCCCAUAGCGCCCCAUAGAGCCUCAUAGAGACCCAUAGAGACCCAUAGCUGCCCCAUAGAACCCCAUAGAGCCCCAUAGAGACCCACAGAGACCCAUAGAGCCACAUAGCUGCCCCAUAGAGACCCAUAGAGACCCAUAGAGACCCAUAGAGACACAUAGAGUAGUGCCCCAUAGAGACCCAUAGCGACCCAUAGAGACCCAUGGAGACCCACAGAGCCCUAUAGCGACCCCAUAGAGACUCAUAGUGCCCCAUAGCUGCCCCACAGAGACCCACAGAGACCCAUAAAGACCCAUAAUGCCCCAUAGAGACCCACAGAGACCCAUAGAGAGAGCCUACAGUGACCCCUAAGUGCCCCAUAGCGCCCCAUAGAGCCCCAUAGAGACCCCAUAGAGACCCCAUAGAGCCGCACAGAGAGACCCACAGUGCCCCACAGAGACCCACAGAGACCCAUAGAAACGCGUAGUGCCCCAUAGAGACCCAUAGCGACCCAUAGAGACCCACAGAACCCUAUAGCGACCCCAUAGAGACCCAUAGAGACCUAUUGAGCCCCAUAGAGCCCCAUAGAGAGACCCACAGUGCCACAUAGAGACCCACAGAUCCCCAUAGAGACCCAUAGAGACCCACAGAGACCCAUAGAGAUCCAUAGAGACCCAUAGAGACCCAUAGUGCCCCAUAGCUGCCCCAUAGCUGCCCCAUAGAGACCCAUGGUAGACCCACAGAGACCCAUAGAGACACAUAGAGACCCAUAGAG
rnacentral:lncRNA from 1 species